rnacentral:rRNA from 1 species
ACGGGAGGCAGCAGUAGGGAAUCUUCCACAAUGGACGAAAGUCUGAUGGAGCAACACCGCGUGAACGAAGAAGGCUUUCGGAUCGUAAAGCUCUGUUGCUGGAGAAGAACGAAUGCGAGAGGAAAUGCUCGUACUGUGACGGUAUCCAACCAGAAAACCACGGCUAACUACGUGCCAGCAGCCGCGGUAAUACGUAGGUGGCAAGCGUUGUCCGGAAUUAUUGGGCGUAAAGCGCGCGCAGGCGGCUUCUUAAGUCUGAUGUGAAAUCCUGCGGCUCAACCGCAAACGGUCAUUGGAAACUGGGAAGCUUGAGUGCAGAAGAGGAGAGUAGAAUUCCACGUGUAGCGGUGAAAUGCGUAGAUAUGUGGAGGAAUACCAGUGGCGAAGGCGGCUCUCUGGUCUGUAACUGACGCUGAGGCGCGAAAGCGUGGGGAGCAAACAGGAUUAGAUACCCUGGUAGUCCCCGCCGUAAACGAUGAAUGCUAGGUGUUAGGGGGGUCCAACCCCUUAGUGCUGAAGUUAACACAUUAAGCAUCCGCAAGGCAAUCACAAUCGCCGGGUUGAAACUCAAAUGAAUUGUCGG